AUUACUGGGCUUAAAUAGUUCGUAGCUGGUUUGUUAAGUCUCUGGGGAAAUCUUCCGGCUUAACCGGAAGGCGUCUCAGGGAUACUGGCAGACUAGGGACCGGAAGAGGUGAGAGGUACUCCAGGGGUAGGAGUGAAAUCCUGUAAUCCUUGGGGGACCACCUGUGGCGAAGGCGUCUCACCAGAACGGCUCCGACAGUGAGGGACGAAAGCUGGGGGAGCAAACCGGAUUAGAUACCCGGGUAGUCCCAGCCGUAAACGAUGUGCAUUAGGUGUAUCGGUGACCACGAGUCACCGAGGUGCCGAAGAGAAAUCGUGAAAUGCACCGCCUGGGAAGUACGGUCGCAAGGCUGAAACUUAAAGGAAUUGGCGGGGGAGCACCACAACAGGUGGAGCCUGCGGUUUAAUCGGACUCAACGCCGGGAAACUCACCAGAUAAGACAGCUGAAUGAUAGUCGGGCUGAAGACUCUACUUGACUAGCUGAGAGGAGGUGCAUGGCCGUCGUCAGUUC
rnacentral:rRNA from 1 species